rnacentral:lncRNA from 1 species
GCUGUCUCGAUAUCAAAAAUAAAGGUUUAAGUCAAGGUGAUGGAAAAUAUUUGAUAGACCAGGAUGGAGAAAGUCAAGGGAUUCCAUUCGAAGUAUAUUGUGACAUGACGUCAUUUGGUGGAGGUUGGACCAUGUGUUAUACGACUGAUAGUCAUGUUAAUAUCAAAACUGAACUCACCACCACUCUCGCCCAGGGCUAUCGAGCAGAUUGUAACAACAUACCGGUAAGUAUACUUUUUUAUUUUAUUUAUAUAUAUAUAUAUAUAUAUAUAUAUAUAUAUAUAUAUAUAUAUAUAUAUAUAUAUAUAUAUAUAUAUACCUUGUUGCAAGACAUUCAAAACAUUCCAUACGUUUCCGGCAAGGCGCCUGACAGGGGUAAGCAUUGAAGGACGCAGAGCAGCAAAGAGAGGGCAAAAUAAUCAGUUACAUCUUCACUAAGUGCACCACAGGUAAAAGAUGGACAUAGAACACAGUUCAUUGAAAAGAGAUAAUAAUUAAGACCGCACUUGUUUAAUCUUAAUCUUGUAUGUAGGCUAAGGCCGAAAAGUACCGGUCAUCCAAAUAAACCAAUUUAUUGACAGGAGGUAUAUAAAAUCGUUCACGUAAUAAAGCAGUUUUAAAGAGAACAAAUGUUGCAGAUUCAGAAAGAUUAUUCCAUAAAAAAUUGUAGAAUACAAAAAGGAUUUUUUCCUUUCUCGGUGCGAAUGAGAGGUAAACCUAAAUCAUUCCUAGUCCGAAGCCUAUACAGUAUAUCAGUAGCGGAAAUUCACUUUUUCUGCUGGGGGGGGGGGCAAAGCCUCCUAAAUUUCCGACAAAACUUUCAAAUAUCCGACAUCCCCCCCAUUUGCACUCGAAAAGACUGUUUUUACCCUCUUUUAGGUCAAAAUUUUCGAAAAUUCGUUAAUUUUCCGUGAAGGUGGGGGAGGGGGGGGGGCGGCAACCGCCCGCCCCACUAAGAUUUCCGCCACUGGAGUAUGUAGUUCUUUGGCUUACGUGAACAGGACAAAGAUCCAACAAAUAAUUUGGAGCUAAACCUUUAACUGUUUUCUACAAAAAUAACAACUUAUGUAUUUUCCCCCGGUUAUUUAACGUAUGCAGCCGGUAGUAACACUUUCUCUGUGUAUACCUUUCAUUGCUCCGGAAAUUAAUUUUGCUACACCAUACUGAACACUUUCGAGCAGCAGGGGCGUAGGAACACAUUCGAGAUUGGGGGGGGGCGAAUUCCUCGAGGCGCCACCAUGGUUGGCGCCGAGUGGAAAUUUUUUUGAAAAUUAGAGGCUCUAGAUCCUUGGAAAUGGCCAUUUCAGAGCCCUAUUUAGCCAUUUCAGUUUCGAAUUUCACUGCAUUUAUUGUAAAUUGAGUAAAUUCAAUGAUUUUUGGGGGGGCCGAAAGCUAUCUCGGCCCCCCCUUAUAANNNNNNNNNNNNNNNNNNNNCCCCCCCCCCCCGGCCCCCCCGCUUCCUACGCCCCUGUCGAGCAGGUCCGAUUCACCUAUUGUACACUCAUCCCAGACAACAUUAGCGUAUUCCAUCUUGGUGCGAAACGAACCGUUAGCAAUAUUCUGUGCUAUAGCUAACGGUUCGUUUGAUUCUGUAUGCGUGACGUUCGUGUGUUGACGAAGCCUCUCAUGCCUAAACUAUACACGUGUGUUUCCAUGAAUUCUGGAAACAAAUACUGACAGGGAGCAACUGCAUUUAAUUUCAGUUUACUGGAGUGAUAUUUGUCGACGAAGCAACGAAAGAAAAAGCAGCAUUUAACAGGAAUGGUCCAGCUGUAACUUUUUCUGGUAAUUAUGAUAAGGAGGCCGAUGCAUUUGGCUUGUGGACCGCACAGGGUGUUGCGUCAACAGAUUUUGAAUAUCAAAUGUUAAUUUGUGAUACAGAUUUCUACAAGGGCCUCCAUUUUUCUGGGUAUACAGCUGACUGCUACAAACUUUGUGAUAACUGGUGUGAUGACAGAUCUUCUCCAUACUUUCGCUCAUCUGCAGUCUCCAGUGCGAAUUUCCAAGGUGUUGCUUUCAACGAAAAUGGUCAUACACCGACGUCAAAGCGUGUCAUUCGUGUAGGAAUUCGUUAACUACUAAACUGAAACGAGAAAAGAACGCCGCAAAACUUUCGAGUAACAUAACCUCACUUUUGUAAAUACUUAGAACCGAUGACAAUUUAACUAUAUAAAUUAGCACCAAGACUUUAAAAGGUUUCUAUAGACUCCUAGCCCAAAUGUAUCUACUUUAUUUGAUCUACUUUUUAUGUAACAUAAUGGUAUAUCACAUGGGCAAAUCAUUAAAUAAAAAAAUAAUAAAAACUUUAACUUAAAAAUCGCAGCAGAGGUAAAUUGACGUGAACUAAAUUUUAAGUUUAAGUCCAUCCAUUUGUUAAUAACUAGACCUAUUCAAAUUUAG